GUGACCUUAGCUCAAUAGAAGAGCGUCAGGCCGUGGCCCUGGAGGUGCCGGUGCGAUUCCGGUAGGUCACCCCA
rnacentral:tRNA from 1 species